ensembl:misc_RNA 7SK 7SK RNA
GGAUGUGAGGGCAAUCUAGCUGCAACAUCUGUUAGCCCAUUGAUUGCCAGUGUUGAUUCAGCUGAUCUGGCUGGCUGGGCAGGAGUCCCCCACCUUCCUCCCUCACUGCUCCAUGUGUCUCCCUCCUGAAGCUGUGCACUGAGUUAAAGAGGGUGACCAACCCCAAGAGAGGAAAACCAUUUCCUUGGCCAAGGAUAUACACGUAGCUGUGCUUUCUUGCUUAGAAUCUCCAAGCAAGCUCUCAAGAAUUGUUGGUAUUUUGAUUGGUAUUGUGUUAUAUCUAUAUAUUACUUUAGGAAGUGUAGCCAUUU